CACAAGCCGCGCCGCGCCGCCUGCACUGCAAGCCGAGCCGCGCCUCCUUGCUGACGCGAGCCGAGCCGCACGCGCAAGAUCCUUGCGCCAAGCCGAGCCGAGCCGAUCUCUGUCUCCUUCCAGCCGAGCCGCCAAGCCUAAUUUGGCUCCUUCCACCUAAUUUUUGGGACGUCUUGGACCAAGUAACUGCUGCAGCGGGGGAUUUCUUCAGUAGGGGCUUGAGCACCGCAAUCUCCUUCUAGGUUAGGACCUCGUCGCUUGGAAAGCGUACUGCCUCGCGGUUAGGACUCGUCGAGUAAAUCUCCAGGUAAGAGAUUCUACUACUAGCUCCAUGCUUAGAAAUAUGAGAUGAUGUAUACUCCAAUUUUGCAUGUUGAGGAUUAGACGGUACGAUGCCUGAAAUCAAUGUUAGUAUGAUGUAAAUGACGGUAUGGUUAUACUAUAGCCUGUUAUGUGUGGCGAGAGCUGUUAUAGCUAUACGACGAAUGUCGAGACGGAGAGGGCAGAGAUGAUUUAUAUGAUAUGUUAUAUGCUGAUGCCAUGUGUAUGUAUACUGCACUUAGGGUACCUGUUAGCUUGAUCUGUUAGAGUCGUACCUGCAUGGGUGUCCUUCGGGAUCACCACCUAUUGAGGACUGUGUGGUCCGACGGGACGCCAGUCUAGCAUGGAUAUAGAUAUGACUCGAGUGA